UACAGAGGGGGCAAGCGUUGUUCGGAAUUACUGGGCGUAAAGCGCACGUAGGCGGAUUGCUAAGUCAGGGGUGAAAUCCUGGAGCUCAACUCCAGAACUGCCUUUGAUACUGGCGAUCUCGAGUCCGGGAGAGGUGAGUGGAACUGCGAGUGUAGAGGUGAAAUUCGUAGAUAUUCGCAAGAACACCAGUGGCGAAGGCGGCUCACUGGCCCGGUACUGACGCUGAGGUGCGAAAGCGUGGGGAGCAAACAGG
rnacentral:rRNA from 1 species